AUGGUGCCUCUAGGAAAGUUGCUUAAUUUAUAUUCAAGCCAUGGUUUUCCCAUUUGUUCAGGUGCUACAAUUUCAGCCAUUUCGUGAGACCGGGCAGGUCAUGUAAAUAAGCAGUCAGAAGCAAUCAGCCAGAAGUGCGCUAUACAGGGCAGGCUUCUCCUGACGGUUCACCAGUGCGGGUCACCCCAAGCACCAUACCAGCCAAAUGGAAUGCAGCUAUGACUGAAUUUGACCCCAGAUACGCUGUCUUUCAGAGGCUUUACAGCACAUGGUAACGUUUAGGGUUUGUUGGCCACUGGGGGUCAACAUGUUCACUGCCUGCAGGGAACUGGCCAGAAUCAGAAGAUGGAAACCCAAUAGCCGUUGAUAACCUCAGUCCUGUUACUUCAACUGAGAAUGAGUGCUAAGCCUCUGAGCUUCCCAAGAACAAGCUGAGGACAGCAGGCCAAAGAGGAGCUGUUUUUUUUUCCUGAAGGUAUUAAACUAGUGCACUUUCAAGUACAGCAAGCUCUGCAACCAACAAUGAGGAAUAUGGUGAUACAGAUGCUACAAUCAAGGUGAAGAUACAGUUGACUAAAGCUGUCACUGAAUAAAAUCCAGGUGCACUCCACGGAUGAGGACAGAAAGGCCCACAGAGGUGGAGGAACUUGCCCGCAGUCACAGAGCCUGCAAGAGCAAACAGGGUGCAGAUCUAGAUUAGGCUGACUCUCUUCCUCCGUGCCUCCCUGCCUGCCUGCAAGCUGGAUUGCUUUCAUCUCAUGCUGAGAAGAGCUGGGCCCCCUCCACACUACUGCCAAGAAGCAGCUUCAAAAUUUUUUUGAAC